UCCUGGUUAACCCAGGCAGUCUCAUUAGAGUUCCCACCUUAUAUGUUGGCAACUAAUGAUAAGGGUUGCGCUCGUUGCUGGACUUAACCAAACACCUCACGGCACGAGCUGACGACAGCCAUGCAGCACCUGUGCACAGUCCCCGAAGGGCUAUAACAUCUCUGCUAUAUCACUGCGCAUGUCAAGCCUGGGUAAGGUUCUUCGCGUUGCAUCGAAUUAAACCACAUGCUCCACUGCUUGUGCGGGUCCCCGUCAAUUCUUUUGAGUUUCAGCCUUGCGACUGUACUCCCCAGGCGGUAUACUUAUCGCGUUAGCUUCGGCACAACCAGGGUUGAGUCCGGUUACACCAAGUAUACAUCGUUUACAGUAAGGACUAC
rnacentral:misc_RNA from 1 species